UACGUAGGUGGCGAGCGUUGUCCGGAUUUACUGGGCGUAAAGAGCGCGCAGGCGGCUGGUCAAGUCCGAUGUGAAAGCUCCCGGCUUAACUGGGAAAUUGCAUCGGAAACUGAUCGGCUGGAAGGUGGGAGAGGGUAGCGGAAUUCCCGGUGUAGUGGUGAAAUGCGUAGAUAUCGGGGAGGAACACCAGUGGCGAAAGCGGCUACCUGGCCCAUUCUUGACGCUGAGGCGCGAAAAGCUAGGGGAGCAAACGGGG
rnacentral:rRNA from 1 species